CCUACGGGAGGCAGCAGUGAGGAAUAUUGGUCAAUGGACGCAAGUCUGAACCAGCCAUGCCGCGUGCAGGAAGACGGCUCUAUGAGUUGUAAACUUCUUUUGUACGAGGGUAAACCCAGAUACGCGUAUCUGUCUGAAAGUAUCGUACGAAUAAGGAUCGGCUAACUCCGUGCCAGCAGCCGCGGUAAUACGGAGGAUUCAAGCGUUAUCCGGAUUUAUUGGGUUUAAAGGGUGCGUAGGCGGUCGGUUAAGUUAGAGGUGAAAUCCCGCGGCUCAACUUUGGAAUUGCCUUUGAUACUGGCAGGCUAGAGAAUAGUUGAGGUAGGCGGAAUGUAUGGUGUAGCGGUGAAAUGCUUAGAGAUCAUGCAGAACCCCGAUUGCGAAGGCAGCUUACCAAGCUACUUCUGACAUUGAGGCACGAAAGUGUGGGGAGCAAACAGGAUUAGAUACCCGUGUAGUC
rnacentral:rRNA from 1 species